CCGUCCUGAGGGUACCCGGAGAAAAAGCAUCGGCUAACUCCGUGCCAGCAGCCGCGGUAAUACGGAGGAUGCGAGCGUUAUCCGGAUUUAUUGGGUUUAAAGGGUGCGUAGGCGGGAUGCCAAGUCAGCGGUCAAAUACGGGGGCUCAACCUGCGUCCGCCGUUGAAACUGGCGUUCUUGAGUGGGCGAGAAGUACGCGGAAUGCGUGGUGUAGCGGUGAAAUGCAUAGAUAUCGCGCAGAACCCCGAUUGCGAAGGCAGCGUGCCGUGCCGCCACUGACGCUGAGGCACGAGAGCGCGGGGAUCGAACAG
rnacentral:rRNA from 1 species